GCUGUUAGUUUGUGGGCUGGUG
rnacentral:miRNA from 1 species